ensembl:lncRNA
AAUCAAGGCGCCAUUUUUAAAGUAUUCUCAUAGCCCCUGACGCGGGUAGGACGCGUAGUGCUGAGCUUGGCCCCAUUUCACAGAGGAGGGGACUCUCUGGGUGUCUCCGCGGCAGCAGGAGGGCGCGGCCGAAGCCCCAAGCCCGGUCCUCCGCCGCCACCAACACCUUCCAGCCGGCCGGGUAUCCCCCUGCCGGCUGGGACUUUCGACUUUAUCAGCUCGACAGCAGCAAGGCCUCUGCAGAGAAGGCGAUGGCACCCCACUCCAGUACUCUUGCCUGGAAAAUCCCAUGGAUGCAGGAGCCUGAACAAAUCAUGCAUUGCUGGAGUGAGUCACCAGGGAACCCAUCUCUGACUGAGUUCUUUGCUGUCCACGGUCCAACACUGCCCCCUCGUGUUGAAGGGUUGGGUUUUAAUCCCCUCUCUGGAGCUUCCCUGGUGGUUCAGCUGGUAAAGAAUCCACCUGCAAUGUGGGAGACCUGGAUUCAAUCCCUGGGUUGGAAAGAUCCCCUGGAGAAGAGAAUGGCUACCCACUCCAAUAUUCUACCCUGGAGAUUUCCAUGGACAGAGGAGCCUGGCAGGCUGCAGUCCAUGGGGUCGCAGAGUCAGACACAACUGAGUGACUUUCACUUUCUGUUUCCAGAGUCUGGAACAUUGCUUGACACUUGGUAAACAGUCCAUAAAUACUUAUGAACUGACUUCAGGCAGUUUCUGUCAUCAACAGUCAUGUGCUGACACUGUUUUGGGGCCCUGGUUAAGACAAGGCAUCUAC